GCCAACGUCCAUACCACGUUGAAUACACCGGUUCUCGUCCGAUCACCGAAGUUAAGCAACGUCGGGCGCGGUCAGUACUUGGAUGGGUGACCGCCUGGGAACACCGCGUGACGUUGGCU
rfam:Operophtera brumata OBRT01_Sc02514, whole genome shotgun sequence.